CGGACAUACCACGUUGAAACACCGGCCCCCGUACGAUUACCGAGAUUAAGCAACCUCGAGGCUGGUCAGUACUUAGAUGGGUGACCGCCUGGAUGUGCGGGUAGUGU